UUGUCAUGCCAAUGGCACUGCCCGGUAAGCUAAAUGCGGAAGAGAUAAGUGCUGAAAGCAUCUAAGCACGAAACUUGCCCCGAGAUGAGUUCUCCCUGACCCUUUAAGGGUCCUGAAGGAACGUUGAAGACGACGACGUUGAUAGGCCGGGUGUGUAAGCGCAGCGAUGCGUUGAGCUAACCGGUACUAAUGAACCGUGAGGCUUAACCUUAC
rnacentral:rRNA from 1 species